rnacentral:tRNA from 1 species
GCGGAGGUGGCGGAAUUGGCAGACGCGCACGGUUGAGGGCCGUGUGGGAGUUAAUCCCAUGGGGGUUCGAGUCCCCCCCUCCGCACCA